GACUGCAAAGGCAUAGUCCUUUAAUUGUAGAUAUCCACUCCAUUUUGUUUUCAUUUGAAUAGGUAACAAGAGCUCAUGAAUGGUUCAGGGAUAGCUCGGCGCGUUUUGGCUACGUUGCAACCUGCUGCUUCAAGUCUCAUCUGUGAGUAUAACUGUUUUCCCAAUCAAUCAAUAAAUCAUAUUCUUGAAACAUCAGUUAUAGGAAUGAAGUUACUCUGUCACCAUUGCUUCUGA